rnacentral:lncRNA from 1 species
CUCUGUAUUACCCAUGUCUAACAGAUUCCUUUUGUCAGCCUGUAGUUCAAUAAUUGAUUUCUUUAAUUACUCCUUAUAUCUGGUGUGAUGACGAACCAGGAGUUGGAACGGCUGUAGUGCUGAUAAGUUGAUUUCUGAAAUAGUGAACAGAGAAUAGGGAGGAAGAACAAGAGGAGAGGAAGGGAGGGAAACGGCAGCGAAAAGGAAGAGAAGAGGAGAGGAAGAACGAGAAGGGGAAAGAAAGAAGUGGAAAACGUGGAAAAGAAAAUGCUUAAUUCUUCAUCAACCCUAAUCAACAUAAAAGUCCCCUAUAAAUAGGGCCCAAAUAAGACAAUUAAAAUAAAACCCCCUUACACAAAAUAAUUCCCAAUAAACCCAAAAUACACAAAUGAACCCUAAAAUGCAAAUAAAUUCAGAAGUAAAAUAAUAAAAUAAACAUGCAAAUAAAAUGGUGGCCUAGCUGAUGUCCCCAUCAACUCCUCCCGGAUGGGAAAAACUCAACCCCGUCGAGUACAGAUCUGGUCGGCUAUCGUACUGCUCCAGAAAAUUAGGGUCAAGGCGCUGCAACUCGGCUCGUGAAAUCCACGUCACAUCUGAUUCGGGUCGACCUUUCCACCGAACAAGGUAACGUUGGUAGCUUCCUCUUCUGGUAGAAAUAACCUGCUCAUCUAAUAUAUGUUCUAUGUGUUCUCUACGUGCAUGAAACUUUGAAGGUGGAGGCUUAAUAGCAGGUGCUGUAGCGGAUGCAGUCAAUCAGAAUCGUGUACUCGUGGACCGGGGCGAUGAUCGGUGCCGGUUGCAGCUGAUGGACCCUUUCAAUUGGUUUUUAAUUGGAUCUUUUCACAGUGCUUUUGCGAGUCUGCUGGGCUUGAAAAAUGGAGGAGAGAAGUGAACCUGCUGCGUUUGUGAGGUGGGAGCAGGCCUCUGUAGUGAGGGACUGCUGGUUUGGGCCUGUGAGGUAAAUAAUUGCAGGUGGCUGUGCAGAAGGUGGCGCGGCCUAAUGGGCCUGAUGGGCCCGUGGAUGAAAUGGUGGGGCGGGUGGGCCGUGUGUUUGCUAGGCCCGAAAGGAAAGAAGGACGGGUCGGGGUCUGGUGUUUGGUUGGAAGAGAAACGAGGGGGGGUUGACAGUUGAGACCGAUGGGAGGGGGAAAGCGGGUCUCAGGAGGCGUGGUGUUUGAGGGGUGGAGGCGUGGUGUUUGAAGGGUGGAGGCGUGGUGGUGUGGCUCGGCGGAAGGAGGACCGGCGGUAGGCGCUGAAGAAGACGAGGCGGAGUGCAGCAGGCGACGGCGUCGACUGAGACGUCCGUGAAGGCGGUCGCGGAGGCGCAGACGGUGCGGCUCGGCGGGAGCUUAGGGCGGGGUGGCACCGGCGGAAGCGGUGGAGGUCUCGGCGGCGACGGGAGGCGGCUCGGGCUCGGAACCUCCGGCGGAUGCGGCGGGCGGACUCGGGCGGCGCGGAGGGAUGGUGUGCUUGGAGAAGGGGAAGGUGGAGCGGUGACAGUGGCGCAGCGGAGCGGUGACAGUGGCACGGCGGAGCUGUGGACGAAGGUGGAGGCGGUGAUGGAGCUGCGGAUGCGGCGGCGGUGGCAACAGCGGCGAGCGGAGCUCGGUGGAUGCUCGGC